rnacentral:lncRNA from 1 species
GCCAAGCAUAUACGUCCCCAAACCCAAACCCUAGAAAGCCUAGAAGAUAAUCUCUGAAGAAUAAAUGCGUCGCGAUCGCUAUCUUGUUGUCCACAGAGGAAACGGUUUAGUACAGCCGAUUUUAUCCUGGUUUGGUUCGGUUCGGUUCGUUUAAUGAUCCGGUUUUGUCCAUUGUUUCUAUUCCAUUAUUAUGUUAUUGGGCUGAAAACAAACUGGACUUUUAAAAGGGCAUCUGUAUGUUCGAAUUCAAACAUAAUUUUCCUUUUUUUUUCUCCCA